rnacentral:rRNA from 1 species
AGCGGCGGACGGGUGAGUAACGCGUGGGUAACCUGCCUUAUACAGGGGGAUAACAGUUAGAAAUGACUGCUAAUACCGCAUAAGCGCACAGUACCGCAUGGUACAGUGUGAAAAACUCCGGUGGUAUAAGAUGGACCCGCGUCUGAUUAGCCAGUUGGCGGGGUAACGGCCCACCAAAGCGACGAUCAGUAGCCGACCUGAGAGGGUGACCGGCCACAUUGGGACUGAGACACGGCCCAAACUCCUACGGGAGGCAGCAG